CAGUCGCCGCGGGAAUACGUAGGUGGCAAGCGUUGUCCGGAAUUAUUGGGCGUAAAGGGCUCGCAGGCCGUUUCUUAAGUCUGAUGUGAAAGCCCCCGGCUCAACCGGGGAGGGUCAUUGGAAACUGGGAAACUUGAGUGCAGAAGAGGAGAGUGGAAUUCCACGUGUAGCGGUGAAAUGCGUAGAGAUGUGGAGGAACACCAGUGGCGAAGGCGACUCUCUGGUCUGUAACUGACGCUGAGGAGCGAAAGCGUGGGGAGCGAACAGGAUUAGAUACCCCAGUAGUCCCUGUCUCUUAUAC
rnacentral:rRNA from 1 species